UGGGGAAUUUUGGACAAUGGGCGAAAGCCUGAUCCAGCAAUGCCGCGUGUGUGAAGAAGGCCUUCGGGUUGUAAAGCACUUUUGUCCGGAAAGAAAUCCUUGGCUCUAAUACAGUCGGGGGAUGACGGUACCGGAAGAAUAAGCACCGGCUAACUACGUGCCAGCAGCCGCGGUAAUACGUAGGGUGCAAGCGUUAAUCGGAAUUACUGGGCGUAAAGCGUGCGCAGGCGGUUUGCUAAGACCGAUGUGAAAUCCCCGGGCUCAACCUGGGAACUGCAUUGGUGACUGGCGGGCUAGAGUAUGGCAGAGGGGGGUAGAAUUCCACGUGUAGCAGUGAAAUGCGUAGAGAUGUGGAGGAAUACCGAUGGCGAAGGCAGCCCCCUGGGCCAAUACUGACGCUCAUGCACGAAAGCGUGGGGAGCAAAACAGGAUUAGAUACCCUGGUAGUCCACGCCCUAAACGAUGUCAACUAGUUGUUGGGGAUUCAUUUCCUUAGUAACGUAGCUAACGCGUGAAGUUGACCGCCUGGGGAGUACGGUCGCAAGAUUAAAACUCAAAUGAAUUGACGGGGUCAUAGCUGUUUCCUG
rnacentral:rRNA from 1 species